rnacentral:rRNA from 1 species
GCAAACGCUGGCGGCAUGCCUAACACAUGCAAGUCGAACGGAGUGGCGGAUGGGUGAGUAACGCGUGAGUGACCUGCCCAUCAGUGGGGAAUAACAGUGAGAAAUCAUUGCUAAUACCGCAUACUGUUGGAUUGACUCGGGUCUGACUAGCCAGUUGGUGGGGUAACGGCCUACCAAAGCAAUGAUCGGUAGCCGGUCUGAGAGGGUGAACGGCCACAUUGGGACUGAGACACGGCCCAAACGCCUACGGGAGGCAGCAGUGGGGAAUCUUCCGCAAUGGGCGCAAGCCUGACAGAGCAAUGCCGCGUGAGUGAAGAAGGCCUUCGGGUUGUAAAACUCUGUCCUCAGCCAAGCGGUAGAUGAAGAAGAAGCCCCGGCUAACUAUGUGCCAGCAGCCGCGGUAAUUC